AUUGAACGCUGGCGGCAGGCCUAACACAUGCAAGUCGAGCGAGCGGCGGACGGGUGAGUAAUGUAUGGGGACUGCCCGAUAGAGGGGGAUAACUACUGGAAACGGUGGCUAAUACCGCAUACUAUCGGAUAACCCAUAUGGGAUUAGCUAGUAGGUGGGGUAAAGGCUCACCUAGGCGACGAUCACUAGCUGGUCUGAGAGGAUGAUGAGCCACACUGGGACUGAAAAACGGCCCAGACUCCUACGGAGGAAGCAGUGGGGACGAUUGCACAAGGGGCGCAAGCCUGAGGCAGCAAUGCGUGGUGUAUGAGGAAGGCCUUAGGGUUGUAAAGUACGUUCAGCGGGGAGGCGGUACCCACAGAAGAAGCACCGGCUAACUACGUGCCAGCAGCCGCGGGAAUAC
rnacentral:rRNA from 1 species